GAAAUGCGAUAAGUAAUGUGAAUUGCAGAAUUCAGUGAAUCAUCGAAUCUUUGAACGCACAUUGCUCCCGCCAGUAUUCUGGCGGGCAUGCCUGUCCGAGCGUCAUUUCAACCAUCAAGCCCCCGGGCUUGUGUUGGGGACCUGCGGCUGCCCGCAGGCCCUGAAAACCAGUGGCGGGCUCGCUGUCACACCGAGCGUAGUAGCAAUCACCUCGCUAAGGGCGUGCUGCGGGUUCCGGCCGUUAAACAGCCUUACAAAACCCAAGGUUGACCUCGGAUCAGGUAGGAAGACCCGCUGAACUUAAGC
rnacentral:misc_RNA from 1 species